GCUCCCAUGGCGUAGUGGUCACUGCACUCGCCUUGCACGCGGGGAGACCCGCGGUUCGAUUCCCGGCGGGGUCA
rnacentral:tRNA from 1 species